UACGUAGGGAGCUAGCGUUGUCCGGAAUCAUUGGGCGUAAAGCGCGCGUAGGCGGCCCGGUAAGUCCGCUGUGAAAGUCAAAGGCUCAACCUUUGAAUGUCAGCGGAUACUGCCGGGCUAGAGUCCGGAAGAGGCGAGUGGAACUCCUGGUGUAGCGGUGGAAUGCGCAGAUAUCAAGAGGAACACCUGCGGCGAAGGCGGGUUGCUGGGCCGACACUGACGCUGAGGCGCGAAAGCCAGGGGAGCGAACAGG
rnacentral:rRNA from 1 species